CUAAUACUCCACAGAUACUUUAUGUGUUUGUACACAUUAUAGUGAUUUGUCAGUGUGAAGUCAUCCUGUAUGGAGAUGGGAUUGUAAAGCCCAAAUCGUGGUGAUAGGAGGGAUGGAUUUGGUGAAUGGAGGGAAUCAAAUGAUAAUCCAGUUAAGGAUACUAUACCUUUGACACCAGUUCAAUAUUUGAACCAGUCCUUCUAUAAAUUAGUUCUGAUGGGAGGCCCUGGUAUGGGGCCUGCACUGUCUUCAGGAACUGAAACUCAAGCUCCUUGAUCACUGGCAACCUAGAAGAGUCUGGUAAGAUACCUCCUGAAAAUGUACAUUAGUACAUUUAAUAAUUAACCUGAG
rnacentral:lncRNA from 1 species